GGAGGCAAGCCUGGAGUUCACUGAGUAGGGUGGCCAGCAAGCUCCAGAGAUCCACCUAUCUCUGUCUCCCCAGCCUGAAGAUUGUAAAUGAACCCCACCAAGUUCAGCAUUUUUUUAAAAAGUGGAUUCUGUAGACCACACCCAGGUCUUUGUGCUUCUGCAGGAAGCCCUUUACUGCCUGAGCCAUCUCUUCAGUCCUGAAUAUUGUAUUUCUAACAAUAUGAUUUCCAGGUGGUGUGGAUACUGUUGGAGCAGUGGCCACACUUAGAAACUCACUGUUCCAUCAACAUUUUCUCUAAGUCCAAGGCCUUGAAGACUUGGUCCUCCAUGUGUCUUUGUUGGAUCCAGGGUCCAACAAUCAAGGCUGUCACCCAACCCCCACGGGUCACCUUUCCAGGCCUCUGUGGGUCAGCAUCUCUAUCAUUUUCCUGGCUGGCCAUUGAAUGCUUCUAUCCCAUUCUCCAUUUUGUCUCAAUCUACGCAUCUCCCCGAGGAAGGACCAAAGGUUGGCAAGGAGGGUGUAUUCGUUACUUUCCCCAUUGCUAUGACCAAAUACCUGACCAGAAGCAACUUAAGGAAGGAACGGGUUGUUUGGUCUUACAGUUUAGGAACGGGAAUGGAUAUAGCGAACCUGGUGAAGUUGGUGGGAAUGGGGUGGUCACGUGGUCUCAAAGUCAGGAAGCACUCAGUAACCCGGAAGUGGGGUUGGGGGGUUGGGAGGGUGUUAAGGCUUUUAAACCUGAAGACUCAGCUACUUCCUUCCUUCAGCAAGGCUCCACUUGUCAAAGGGUCCACAACCUUCCGAAACAGCCCUACAAAAUGGAAGUUUUCAAAACAUAACUUUAUGGGAGACGUUUCAUAGUCAAUGCACCACAGAGGGCCUGGACCUCCUGCUGCCCUGGUGCUUUAGAGUCUUGGAAGCCAAGCCCGGGAUUUCUGGAACCCUGCCUUUAGAGAUAAAAGGGACCCUCGAGCAGAGAUCGGUCCCCCUGAAAUCUCAGCUGAGUUCUAACUGAAUCUAGUCUCUGACCUAGAGGAGUUCCUGUCCGGGUGGAGUCUCAAUUUGCCUCUCUGUAGGCGGUCCCGGAUGCUUCACCCCAGAGAUCCUUCCCGAAGACGAUGGAUCAGAAGAAGAAAAGAGAGGGUUUGCUGAGGAGUAAGUGGGAGUAAAGAUGACAUCAUUAUGGCUCAUGGAGUGGACUUUUUGAAUUUGACGUUCUUUUAAAGCGCUUCAAAAUAAUGAAAACAAAUACCUAAGUGAAUGAAGCCCUUAGACCAGCGACUGGCCUGUGAUGACAUGAGUUCUGUCCAUUUGGAGGGCUGAACGUUUUAAUGGGUCAUAGCCCAGCCUCAGUUCUGGUCCAAAGCUAUGUUUCCUGAUCCACCACGAUGUGAGAAAGUCGCUUCAUGUUCCUGCUGCCACAAAUAAGAGCUGCUUCCAGCAUCAUCCCCAUUAACCAUGGUCGGUUUCUUCCUAAAACUGUGAGCUGAAAUAAUCUGCCCUCCCUUACAUUUUUCCUUCCAGUGCUGGGGAAGUAGCUAAUAAAGUAUUCUAGAGCCAAGACAGGGUUGCAGCUAGAAGGCCUCCCCAAAGGUGGCCGUUGGAAAGGAUGAAGCAUCAAGGUUCCGACAGAGAGGAUCCCACGUGGUAAGGCAGGGAAAACAGGGGCAACACAGACUUGAGCAGGCAGGUACUUACUUGAUUCACUCUUCCCUGAGGCAGAUGUGAGGGGGCAUGACCUCCUACUGAACCACAACCUCAGUAUCAGAGCCCUGCUGGGAAGUCUCAGUGGCACAGGAGCCUAGCCCUCAGCUGCUGGAUUGACAUACAGAGAUGAAGCUGAGCAGCCAGCCAGUCCCUCCUGUAUCUUUCUCCAGUCCAAAGACACCUUCGACUAGUGCAGGAAAACAAAAGAGAGAAUGCUCUUGUCCCACUCUAUCUUUUAAGGAAGGGAGCUCCAAGUUCAUUGUUCUAGAACAGUAGUUCUCUUAUAUUUUUGGUUGUGAGCCUAGCCUUUAACGGCUGAGCCAUCUCUCCAGCUCAAACAGUGGUUCUCAACCCAUGGGUCAAAACCCCUGUGGGGGUCACGUAUCAGAUAUCCUGCAUAUCAGCUAUUUUACAUUAUUAUUCACAACAGUAGCAAAAUUACAGCUAUGAAGUAGCAAUGAAAUAAUUUUAAGGUUGGGAUCACCACAACACAAGAAACUGUAUUAAGGGUUCACAGCAUUAGGAAGGUUGAGAACCACUGUUCUGGAAUAAAUGGCUCAAGAGGCUCCACAGGAUUCUUGGUCCCUGUUACAAGAGAACAGAACAAUCAUGUUUAAUUUUCUGGAUGUGCUAUUAUUACCCUACAGAGAAACUCAGUGGUAAGUAUGUCUGGCUUAGCAUUAUCUCCUGAUAAAGAUAAACACACUGGGUAAAUUUUAUGAAACUUAAGAAAUGUGGAGUAUCAAAGAAAGGAC
ensembl:lncRNA